AUAUACCGUUCAGAGGGGACCGGCUGUCUUUCCUCGUUGUCGUGAGUCGGACACCCGUGCCGUCGCUAGAAGUUUUUCAAACUCUGCUUCUGGAUAUCGGGACGAAAGACCGCGCGAGGACGACGGAUGCGAGUCCCAUCGAAUUUUUGAUUUACACACUACCUGAACGAGACUUAAAGUUUCAUCCAGUUUGUCGUCUAUCAUCUCAUAUAUAAUAUACCGUUCAGAGGGGACCGGCUGUCUAUCCUCGUUGUCGUGAGUCGGACACCCGUGCCGUCGCUAGAGUUUUUCAAACUCUGCUUCUGGAUGUUGGACGAAAGACCGCGCGAGGACGAUGGAUGCGAG